rnacentral:rRNA from 1 species
UACGAAGGGGGCUAGCGUUGUUCGGAUUUACUGGGCGUAAAGCGCACGUAGGCGGAUUGUUAAGUCGGGGGUGAAAUCCUGGAGCUCAACUCCAGAACUGCCUUCGAUACUGGCAAUCUCGAGUCCGGAAGAGGUAAGUGGAACUCCUAGUGUAGAGGUGGAAUUCGUAGAUAUUAGGAAGAACACCAGUGGCGAAGGCGGCUUACUGGUCCGGUACUGACGCUCAUGCACGAAAGCGUGGGGGAGCAAACAGG